AACGGGUGAGUAACACGUGAGCAAUCUGCCCCUGACUCUGGGAUAAGCGCUGGAAACGGCGUCUAAUACUGGAUACGAACCGUGGAGGCAUCUUCAACGGUUGGAAAGAUUUUUUGGUCAGGGAUGAGCUCGCGGCCUAUCAGCUUGUUGGUGAGGUAAUGGCUCACCAAGGCGUCGACGGGUAGCCGGCCUGAGAGGGUGACCGGCCACACUGGGACUGAGACACGGCCCAGACUCCUACGGGAGGCAGCAGUGGGGAAUAUUGCACAAUGGGCGCAAGCCUGAUGCAGCAACGCCGCGUGAGGGAUGACGGCCUUCGGGUUGUAAACCUCUUUUAGCAGGGAAGAAGCGAAAGUGACGGUACCUGCAGAAAAAGCGCCGGCUAACUACGUGCCAGCAGCCGCGGUAAUACGUAGGGCGCAAGCGUUAUCCGGAAUUAUUGGGCGUAAAGAGCUCGUAGGCGGUUUGUCGCGUCUGCUGUGAAAUCCCGAGGCUCAACCUCGGGUCUGCAGUGGGUACGGGCAGACUAGAGUGCGGUAGGGGAGAUUGGAAUUCCUGGUGUAGCGGUGGAAUGCGCAGAUAUCAGGAGGAACACCGAUGGCGAAGGCAGAUCUCUGGGCCGUAACUGACGCUGAGGAGCGAAAGGGUGGGGAGCAAACAGGCUUAGAUACCCUGGUAGUCCACCCCGUAAACGUUGGGAACUAGUUGUGGGGUCCAUUCCACGGAUUCCGUGACGCAGCUAACGCAUUAAGUUCCCCGCCUGGGGAGUACGGCCGCAAGGCUAAAACUCAAAGGAAUUGACGGGGACCCGCACAAGCGGCGGAGCAUGCGGAUUAAUUCGAUGCAACGCGAAGAACCUUACCAAGGCUUGACAUAUACGAGAACGCUGCAGAAAUGUAGAACUCUUUGGACACUCGUAAACAGGUGGUGCAUGGUUGUCGUCAGCUCGUGUCGUGAGAUGUUGGGUUAAGUCCCGCAACGAGCGCAACCCUCGUUCUAUGUUGCCAGCACGUAAUGGUGGGAACUCAUGGGAUACUGCCGGGGUCAACUCGGAGGAAGGUGGGGAUGACGUCAAAUCAUCAUGCCCCUUAUGUCUUGGGCUUCACGCAUGCUACAAUGGCCGGUACAAAGGGCUGCAAUACCGUAAGGUGGAGCGAAUCCCAAAAAGCCGGUCCCAGUUCGGAUUGAGGUCUGCAACUCGACCUCAUGAAGUCGGAGUCGCUAGUAAUCGCAGAUCAGCAACGCUGCGGUGAAUACGUUCCCGGGUCUUGUACACACCGCC
rnacentral:rRNA from 3 species